rnacentral:rRNA from 1 species
GACGAACGCUGGCGGCGUGCUUAACACAUGCAAGUGGAGCGACGAACCGGGGCUUGCCCCGGGGCAGAGCCGCGAACGGGUGAGUAACACGUGGGUAACCCACCCCGAUGACCGGGACAACCCGAGGAAACUCGGGCUAAUACCGGAUGUGCUCCUUGACCUCGAGGUCAAGGCGUAAAGAUAGCUUCGGCCUUCGCAUCGGGACGGGCCCGCGGCCCAUUAGCUUGUUGGUGGGGUAACGGCCUACCAAGGCGA